rnacentral:tRNA from 1 species
GUCCCAGUGGCGCAAUCGGUUAGCGCACGGUACUUAUAAUGCCGAGGGUGAGUUCGAGCCUCACCUGGGACA